rnacentral:lncRNA from 1 species
CCCCUUUGUAUCGGGUUAGGUGGGAACAAGUUGUCCCCACCCGGGGGUGGAACAACUUGUUCCACCCCCCGGUAUAAGAGAGAGAGAGAGAGCGAGAGAGAUUUUUAUUUUAAAUUUAAAUUUCUAAAAUUUAUAAUUUUAAAAUUUAAAUUUUAAAUUUUAAAUUUUAAAUAUGAUAUUUUUAGUUUUUAAAUUUUAAAUUUGAUAUUUUAUAUCUUUCAAAUUUAAAUUUAGUCUUAAAUUUAAAAUUUGAUAUUUAAAAUUAAAAUUUUGAAAAUUACAAUUUUAAAUUUAAUUUCAAAAUUUAAAAUUUAAAAGUUAAAAUUUUCAAUUUAAGAUUAUAAGUUUAAAAAUUUAAAUUCAAUUAUAGGGGUAAUAUCAUUGUUUUAUAAUUAUAACUACCAACUAUUCCACCUUAUACUCACAUUUUCAUCCAAACACAAUUUUUCUAAUUCCAGCUUAUACUCACAUUUUCAUUCAAACAAAAAAAAAUACGCUUAUUCCUACGAAAACCUAUACUUGUACCUAUCCCCGGUAUAACUAGUUCUUGCUUAUACCCGAACCAAAUGAAGCCAUAAAGUCUAGGGUAU